rnacentral:rRNA from 1 species
UACGAAGGGUGCAAGCGUUACUCGGAAUUACUGGGCGUAAAGCGUGCGUAGGUGGUGAGUUAAGUCUGUCGUGAAAGCCCCGGGCUCAACCUGGGAAUGGCGAUGGAUACUGGCUCGCUAGAGUGCGGUAGAGGAGAGUGGAAUUCCCGGUGUAGCAGUGAAAUGCGUAGAGAUCGGGGAGGAACAUCAGUUGCAAAGGCGGCUCUCUGGACCAGCACUGACACUGAGGCACGAAAGCGUGGGGAGCAAACAGG